UACGAAGGGGGCUAGCGUUGCUCGGAAUUACUGGGCGUAAAGCGCACGUAGGCGGAUUGUUAAGUCGGGGGUGAAAUCCUGGAGCUCAACUCCAGAACUGCCUUCGAUACUGGCGAUCUCGAGUUCGGGAGAGGUGAGUGGAAUUCCGAGUGUAGAGGUGAAAUUCGUAGAUAUUCGGAGGAACACCAGAAGCGAAGGCGGCUCACUGGCCCGAUACUGACGCUGAGGCGCGAAAGCGUGGGGAGCAAACAGG
rnacentral:rRNA from 1 species